UGACUAUGCGGUGGCCGCUGCAGUAGUGACAGGAAAAAUGUUCGAUCAGGUGGUUUCAUAGUUUGACACUGUGUCUGUAAUUUAUGGAAUACACCUGGCUUAAUAAACUAUAAAUGAACUGACCAGGAAUACACCUGGAUAAAUAAACUAAAAAUAAACUGAUCAGGAAUAUAUCUGGAUAUCACCCUGAGGCUUGUUGUAGAUUACGAGUAGUUGGACUGUGGUGCUUGUGACUGGUUCGUCAGCAGGCUUGUGAAUUUCC
rnacentral:lncRNA from 1 species